rnacentral:tmRNA from 1 species
GGGGGCGCAAUGGCUUCGACGGGGGUUUUGAAGCAAGAGCAGCGAGCCGAUGUGCCAAACAUCGUUAAAAGUGGCAAACUAAAUAUAAACGCUAAAAAUAAUAAUUACGCUUUAGCUGCGUAAGCAGCUUUCGUCCGACCCAGAAGACCUGCGAUCAGGGACCCGGGCGUCAACUUAGCAGGGAACCGUUUUUCAGGAUGUCUCGACUGAUUAACGAAUAAUUGAGGCUGGUCCGAUUGUAACUCUGUCACUGGAGGUUCAAUCGGCGAGAUUAAAUCAGUGACUGCGCUCGGAGAAACUUUUGUGAAUUGGCUUUCGGACGCGGGUUCGAUUCCCGCCGCCUCCACCA